UACGGGGGGAGCAAGCGUUGUUCGGAUUUACUGGGCGUAAAGGGCGCGUAGGCGGCCAGCACAAGUCAGUUGUGAAAUCUCCGAGCUUAACUCGGAACGGUCAACUGAUACUGUGCGGCUAGAGUGCGGAAGGGGCAACUGGAAUUCUUGGUGUAGCGGUGAAAUGCGUAGAUAUCAAGAGGAACACCUGCGGCGAAGGCGGGUUGCUGGGCCGACACUGACGCUGAGGCGCGAAAGCCAGGGGAGCAAACAGG
rnacentral:rRNA from 1 species